rnacentral:rRNA from 1 species
CAUAUAAGUAGGCGGUGGAAAAUAAACCAAAUGGGAUUCCUUAAGUAAUGGCGAAUGAACAAGGAACUGCUCAACUUGAAAAUCGGGGCUUCUGGCCUUGAAUUGUAAUUUUGAAAUGUAUUGCCAAUGGAGGCGCAGGUGCAAGCCAAUUGAAAGAAAGCGUCAAAGAAGGUGAAAAUCCUUUUUGUCAUUUGCAGCCCUCCGUGCACGGUAUAUAUUUGACGAGUCACACUCCUCGGCAUUGGAAUGCAAAGUGGGUGGUAAAUUUCAUGUAAAGAUUAAUAUAUUAUUGAGACUGAUAGCGAACAAGUACCAUGAGGGAAAUAUGAAAAGGACUUUGAAAAGAGAAUUAAAAGAGUCUGCACUUGCUGAACAGAAAGCAAACAGAAGUGAUUAUGCUUGGUAAGAUUGUUGCGUCUUGUUGUUCUGCAACUUGGGCGCAGUGGUUCUUACCUUGUCUGCCAGCAUCUUUUCUGCAAAUCAGAACCCUGGCACAUGACUGGUAAUUCGCCUGCGGGUGUUGGAAUGCAUGUGUUUGCUAUGAUUUGUGAUUAGAUUUGUGCGCGUGGUGCUUCGGUAUGUGGCUCUUUGCUGUGGGGGAAUUCUCCUCUGCCCUGCUGAAUCCCUUGCGCUACAUCGCUGGCAAAAUGUUUCUGCUUGACCCGUCUUGA